AAUGGCUGACACUCUCCCAUCAACUCUGCCUGCGCCUCUCGCCCUGGUGGAGUACCGGAGUCAAUGGAAGAGCGCUCGGCGGUCGAUUUAUCGCAUCUAGUAGAUGUGAUAAAUCGACCCCAGCUGGAUCAAUCUCUGCCCGUCGAUCCAGUGGGUAAUGUAGACAAGCCCUAAGUGAUUGCAGUGGUGCU